rnacentral:pre_miRNA from 1 species
CAAGGCAACCAGGUGCCCCUAAUUGCCAGGGAGUGGGCAUGAGCUUGUGUUAAGCCCACCUGUGCCAAUAUUGGCCCCCUGGUCCUGCUCAUGCACAGUGGGUGCCCACCCUAACUAGGCACAGGUGGGCUUAACACAAGCUCAUGCCCACUCCCUGGCAAUUAGGGGCACCUGGUUGCCUUGUUACACU